GAUGAAGAACGUAGCGAAAUGCAAUAAGUAAUGUGAAUUGCAGAAUUCAGUGAAUCAUCGAAUCUUUGAACGCACAUUGCGCCCGCCAGUAUUCUGGCGGGCAUGCCUGUUCGAGCGUCAUUUCAACCAUCAAGCCCCAGGCUUGUGUUGGGGACCUGCGGCUGCCGCAGGCCCUGAAAACCAGUGGCGGGCUCGCUGUCACACCGGGCGUAGUAGAUUUUAUCUCGCUCAGGGCGUGCUGCGGGUUCCGGCCGUUAAAAAGCCUUUUUUACCCAAGGUUGACCUCGGAUCAGGUAGGAAUACCCGCUGAACUUAAGCAUAUCAAUAAGCGGAGGA
rnacentral:misc_RNA from 1 species